GGAGAGAUGUCAGAGCGGUUUAUUUUGCUCGCUUGGAAAGCGGGUGUACCUUGCGGUACCGAGGGUUCAAAUCCCUCUCUCUCCGCCA
rnacentral:tRNA from 2 species